rnacentral:rRNA from 1 species
UACGGAGGAUGCGAGCGUUAUCCGGAUUUAUUGGGUUUAAAGGGUGCGCAGGCGGGAAUUUAAGUCAGCGGUGAAAUCUCGACGCUCAACGUCGAAACUGCCAUUGAAACUGGAUUUCUUGAGUAUAGAUGAAGUAGGCGGAAUUCGUUGUGUAGCGGUGAAAUGCAUAGAUAUAACGAGGAACCCCAAUUGCGUAGGCAGCUUACUAAACUAUAACUGACGCUCAAGCACGAAAGCGUGGGUAUCAAACAGG